rnacentral:rRNA from 1 species
GGCAUGCUUAACACAUGCAAGUCGAACGGUAACAGACCAAACAAUAUCCUUCGGGGUGUUGUGGUGCUGACGAGUGGCGGACGGGUGAGUAAUGCAUAGGAAUCUGCCCAGUAGUGGGGGACAACCUGGGGAAACCCAGGCUAAUACCGCAUACGACCUACGGGUGAAAGAGGGCCUCUUCUUGAAAGCUCUCGCUAUUGGAUGAGCCUAUGUCUGAUUAGCUUGUUGGUGAGGUAACGGCUCACCAAGGCGACGAUCAGUAGCUGGUCUGAGAGGACGAUCAGCCACACUGGGACUGAGACACGGCCCAGACUCCUACGGGAGGCAGCAGUGGGGAAUAUUGGACAAUGGGGGCAACCCUGAUCCAGCAAUGCCGCGUGUGUGAAGAAGGCCUGCGGGUUGUAAAGCACUUUCAGUAGGGAAGAAAAGCCUGAGGUUAAUAACCUCGAGUCUUGACGUCACCUACAGAAGAAGCACCGGCUAACUCCGUG